CUUGAAACCCUUCUGCACUUUGCUGACACUGUGACUGUCUACAUCACCUGUCCCGAUCACCUCUACUGCUCUCCCCACAUGUCUGUGAAGCUGGUUCUGACCUCCUUGUUCCUGCCCAGAAAAUGCGACUGAGCAGUCAGCUUUGCCACAGGCGUGGAAUCAAAGACUGGGCUCCUCACUGUGGCCUACACUCCUUCCAUGAAGCCUGAGGUGGACGGGAAAUGGCUGCAGCUUUUUUGAAAGUAGGUCCUUGAUCUCGGGGGUUCAAAGAAUGAACCCACAGACCACAGCUGUGAUGACAAAAGCUUGGAGCAACCACCAUAGACCCGGAUGUGGCUGAAGAAGACACAGGAGAGAAGGAGCCUGGGUCCCUGACCCUGUGGACCCUUCAUCGGCCCUAGAUUCCACUAACUCCUGUUUUGUUUAGGCCAUUACUAUUUUGACUCUUAGCAUCCAGAAAUACAUGGUGGCUGCGUGUGGUGACUCAUGCCUGUAAUCCUAUGCAAGGCUGGGGUGGAAGGUCUCCCUGAGGCCAGGAGUUCAAGAUCAGCCUGCACAAUGUAGCAAGACCCCCAUCUUUACAAAAAUAGAAAAAUUAGCUGGGCGCAGUGACUCACACCUGUAAUCCCAGCACUCUGGAAUGCCAAGGCAGGCAGAUCGCCUGAGCUCAUGGGUUCAAGACCAACCUGAGCUAGAGAAAGACGCUGUCUUUAAAAAUAGCCGAGCAUGGGGGCGGCGCCUGUGGUCAGUAAGUAGAGUGCCGGCCCCAUAUACUGAGGGUGGUGGGUUCAAAUCUGGCCCCGGCCAAACUGCAACAAAAAAAUAGCUGG